rnacentral:lncRNA from 1 species
AUGGGAGUAAAGGAAAGUUUGCUUGUAGUAAAAGCAGCAGCAACAGCAACGAUGAAGUUCGAAUGCACUUCCUGCCUUUUGAACACCAAGUGGAUUUUCUUUGAAGGCUCUUCUGAAGUGUCUACCUCAAUUAAACCUUCAUGGGCCUCCCUCCAAGACUAUUUACUACUACCCUUUACCAGACAUACACUUUGCCAGAGCAGAAGCCAGUGCUGUGAAUCUUUCAGUUGA